UUUCCCUUAUCCAGGGGAUCUUCCCCACCCAGGGAUCCAACCCAGGUCUGCUGCAUUGCAGGCGAUUCUUUACCAGCUGAGCCACAGGGAAGCCCAAUUAAUAAGGGCACUUUUAAAAGAGAGACAGACAGGAAAAAAAAAAAGAUUCAAAGCAAAAAAUUAAAACCCCAAACCCCUCUACUGCCUUACCAAAAUUAUCCCUGAGAAACAAUUACAUCGGCUGCUCUAUUCCUACUGUGGAGUAAGGGCCCCGAAGACAACUGUGGAGGAGGGAGCUGCCUGGAUUUUGCCCACAUUCUGAGUCUCUAGCCUCAGUUAAGAAAGAAAAAAACCUGUAGCAAUUAACCGUAGGAUACUGCAUGUGUCCUUUCGGUUUCAUUACUCAGAAACCUCACCCAUAACACAUGGCUGUAAAAACCUGCUCGCCUUUCAACUUUUAAGGAGCAGAGCAGGUUUCCGGAGGAACCAGACUCAAGGGGAGCCCCAGGGAAGAGCCAAAGCAGCUGGGAAUUUGAUACCCCGGUGCUCCAAAGCUAAAAGAAGAAUUAGAAGAAAGCUGCAUGAAUAAAGAUGGGAUCCUUCAUGAUACAGAAAAGACCUCAGCAGAGCAGUACGAAAGAGAAGCAGCUAAGAGGGAAAAGGAUUCUCUUGAGCAAAAGAUUAAAGAGCUGCUACAAAUGUUAGAGAACCAAGAAAGAGCCUUCAAGAUAUUUAGAGUCAAAAUCACCAGCAAGAUGAGAGAAAGAGACAAGCUUCUGAGAAGGAUGAACAAGAGGAUUGAGAGGCUGGAGAUCUUAAGAAAGAUAAGGGAAGAACAAGAGGAAUACUACAUGAAGAAAGAGGAGCAGAUCAAAAGAGAGGCAAGUGAGAGGGAAAAAGACCCUUCUGAGCGAAAGGUUAAAGAGCUGCAGCGACAGUUGGAGAACCAAAAGAGAGUUUUGGAGAGAUUAACAGCCAGAGUGAGAAAGGAGAUAAGAGAAAGAGAGAAGACCUCAGCAGAAGAGUGGGCCAGAGGAGAGGCAACUGAGAGGGCAAAGGAACCUCUUGAACAAAAGGCUAAAGAAUUACAGUCAAAGAUGGAGGGCGACAGAAGUGCCAUCUUGAAGGAAGUUAGACUCAAAACGACAAAGAUGAGAGAAAGAGAAAACCUUCUAAGAAGGAUGAACGAGAGGUUUGAGAUGUUGGAGAUCUUGGGGAUGAUAAAGGACGAGCUAGGGGAAUGCUGCAAGAAGACAGAUGAGCUUUGUAAUGCAGCCAAGACCUUGGCAGAAUGCACUAAAGGAGAGCCAUCUGAGAGGGAAAAGGAGCUUCUUGAGCAAAAGUAUAAGGAGAUAAGUCAAAAGGUGGAGGACCAAAAAAAAGACUUCGAAGAAUGUGUAGGCAAAAUGAUAGAGAAAACAAGAGAAAGACAAAAGAUUUCAGCAGAAGAGUAUGCCAAGAGAGUGGCAGCUGAGAGGGAAAAGGAACUUCUUGAGCAAAAGGUUAAAGAGCUGCAAGAACAGCUGGAAGACCAAGAAAGGGUCUCUGAGGAAUUAGGAGUCAAAAAGACAGAGAAGCAAAGAGAAAGAGAAAAGACAUCAGCAGAAAUGCUGGCCCAAUGGGAGGAUGCUAUGUGGGAAAAGAAGCAAAUGGUUAAAGAAUUGCAGCAAAAGUUGGAGGACCGAGAAAAAACGUUCGAGAGAUUUAGAGACAAACUCACAAAGGAAAUGAGAGAAAGAGACGACCUUCUGAGAAAGAUGAAUGAGAGGAUUCAGAUGCUGGAACGCUUACUGAGGUUACUAGAAACACUAGAGGAACAGGACAUGAAGAAAGAAGAGCAGGCCAAAAGAGAGGCAGCUGAAAGGGAAAACGAGCCUCUUGAACAAAAGGUUAAAGAACUGCAGCAAAAAUCGGAGAACCAAGAAAAAGUCUUCGAAGUAUUAAGAGACAAAAUGACAGAGGAGUUGAAUGAAAGAGAGAAAGCCUCAGCAGAAGAGCAGAUCAGACGAGAGGCCACUGAGAGGGAAAAGGAGUCUCUUGAAAAACAGGUUAAAGAAUUGCAGCAAAAUUUGGAGGACCAAGGAAGAGUCUUCCAGAAAUUAAGAACUGAAAUGACAGAGGAGAUGAGAGAAAAUGAAAAGGCCUCAGCAGAAGAGCAGGCCAAAAGAGAGGCUGCUGAGAGGGAAAAGCUUUUAGAGCAAAAGCUUAAAGAAUUGCAACAAAAGUUUGAGGACCAAGAAAGAGCCUUCAAGGUAUUUAGAGUCCAAAUGACAGAAAAGGUGAGAGAAAGAGACAAUUUUCUGAGAAAGAUGAAUGAGAGGAUUGAGAUGCUGGAGGCUGCAGUGAACAAUGAUAAUGACAAGGAUAAUGAGGAAAACACUGAAAAGUACUGAACUUCAUAGACACAGGAAGAUAAUGACAAAGAAAAUACUUCACAGCCUUUUGUUUUAAUCUCAGUUUGGGAGAAUAUAAAACAUGUGUGGUCACUAAUUACUCAGAUUUUUUGUUUGUUUCUUUUAAAUUCUGGUAAUAUUAAAAGUUUUCACAAGUGCUUUUUUGAUCUGGAUUAUUUCUAUCUAUGUAUGUACUUUUUCUUUUAUCAUUAAAGUUUUAAUGUAAAAAAUAGAAAAAUCAUCUACUAUAGAACAUCAAUUCCUGGCCCACAAAGGAAAGAAUUAGUGUGGCUGGAUAAUUAAUUUAAGUGGAAAUGGAAGCAACUGAGUAGAAGACAAAGAGGUCAAAUUUGUAAUAUCUUGAAAAAAAGAAAAAUUUUAUUAAGUAAUGCUUCUGAAAGUCACAUAUGAAUAAUUAUACAAAUGAAUAUGUAUACUGGUUUCUUGAGAGGAAAGGACUAAUUUCUUAUACAAAACAACUGUGUUACUUCACUUGUAAAUUUUAUGUGUUUUGAGUUAAAAUUUCACAAAAGCUGAUUGUAAAUUUUAAAUUGAGCUGAUCAAACACAUUAAAAAGCCAUGAAAAUUCAGAAGGGGUACAGGGUUUGGGAAGUUUUCAGCCAUAAUUUCUUCUAUAAAUGAAGUUUAUAGAACUGCAGUCAUUAGAACAAUGUGCCAUCAAGGCAUAAAUCUGAAGACAAAGAAUAACAGCAUGCUGCAUAGUCUAAAAAUAGAACCAACAACAUACCUGAUUAAGGUUGUGUGAAUAGUGUUGUUUCAGAUCAGUGAGACAAUAUAAACAGUACAUGAAGUGCUGUCAGUCUACUGGACAGCCAUAUAGAAUGAGAGUGCCUAGAUCGCUUAUAAAUCUUGCACAAAUAAUAUUCCAGCUUGACUUUAGAUUUAAACAUUAAAAAUAAUCUUGAUAAAAACAGUAAAUGUCAGAUAAUUAUAAAAUAAAUGUGGAAACUUGAAUUUAUUUUUAAGUGAC
rnacentral:lncRNA from 1 species